rnacentral:rRNA from 1 species
UACGUAGGGUGCGAGCGUUAAUCGGAAUUACUGGGCGUAAAGCGUCCGCAGGUGGCUGUGUAAGUCUGCUGUCAAAGACCGGGGCUUAACUUCGGAAAGGCAGUGGAAACUGAACAGCUAGAGUAUGGUAGGGGCAGAGGGAAUUCCUGGUGUAGCGGUGAAAUGCGUAGAGAUCAGGAAGAACAUCGGUGGCGAAGGCGCUCUGCUGGACCAUAACUGACACUCAGGGACGAAAGCUAGGGGAGCGAAUGGG